rnacentral:rRNA from 1 species
CCCUUAGAUGUUCUGGGCCGCACGCGCGCUACACUGAUGCAUUCAACGAGUCUAAAACCUGGUCUGAUAGGGCUGGGUAAUCUUUUGAAUGUGCAUCGUGAUUGGGAUAGAUGAUUGCAAUUCUUCAUCUUCAACGAGGAAUGCCUAGUAAACGCAAGUCAUCAGCUUGCAUUGAUUACGUCCCUGCCCUUUGUACACACCGCCCGUCGCUCCUACCGAUUGAAUGUUCCGAUGAAUACCAUGGACUGAGAGUAUGAAUGGGUUCGCCUAUUUCUGCUUCUCGGGAAGUGGAGUGAAUCUUAACAUUUAGAGGAAGGAGAAGUCGUAACA